rnacentral:rRNA from 1 species
UCAUGGCUCAGGACGAACGCUGGCGGCGUGCUUAACACAUUGCAAGUCGAACGAUGAAGCGGUGCUUGCACCGUGGAUUAGUGGCGAACGGGUGAGUAAUACGUGAGUGACCUACCUUUGACUCUGGGAUAAGCCUGGGAAACUGGGUCUAAUACCGGAUACGACCAAUCUCUGCAUGGGGUGUUGGUGGAAAGCGUUAUGGAGUGGUUUUAGAUGGGCUCACGGCCUAUCAGCUUGUUGGUGAGGUAAUGGCUUACCAAGGCGACGACGGGUAGCCGGCCUGAGAGGGUGACCGGCCACACUGGGACUGAGACACGGCCCAGACUCCUACGGGAGGCAGCAGUGGGGAAUAUUGCACAAUGGGCGCAAGCCUGAUGCAGCGACGCCGCGUGAGGGAUGACGGCCUUCGGGUUGUAAACCUCUGUUAGCAUCGAAGAAGCGAAAGUGACGGUAGGUGCAGAGAAAGCGCCGGCUAACUACGUGCCAGCAGCCGCGGUAAUACGUAGGGCGCGAGCGUUGUCCGGAAUUAUUGGGCGUAAAGAGCUUGUAGGCGGUUGGUCGCGUCUGCUGUGAAAGGCCGGGGCUUAACUCCGGUUUUGCAGUGGGUACGGGCUAACUAGAGUGCAGUAGGGGAGACUGGAAUUCCUGGUGUAGCGGUGGAAUGCACAGAUAUCAGGAGGAACACCGAUGGCGAAGGCAGGUCUCUGGGCUGUAACUGACGCUGAGAAGCGAAAGCAUGGGGAGCGAACAGGAUUAGAUACCCUGGUAGUCCAUGCCGUAAACGUUGGGCACUAGGUGUGGGGGACAUUCCACGUUUUCCGCGCCGUAGCUAACGCAUUAAGUGCCCCGCCUGGGGAGUACGGCCGCAAGGCUAAAACUCAAAGGAAUUGACGGGGGCCCGCACAAGCGGCGGAGCAUGCGGAUUAGUUCGAUGCAACGCGAAGAACCUUUACCAAGGCUUGACAUGCAUUAGAUCGCGUCAGAGAUGGCGUUUCCCUUCGGGGCUGGUGUACAGGUGGUGCAUGGUUGUCGUCAGCUCGUGUCGUGAGAUGUUGGGUUAAGUCCCGCAACGAGCGCAACCCUCGUUCUAUGUUGCCAGCGGUUCGGCCGGGGACUCAUAGGAGACUGCCGGGGUCAACUCGGAGGAAGGUGGGGAUGACGUCAAAUCAUCAUGCCCCUUAUGUUCUUGGGGCUUCACGCAUGCUACGAAUGGCCGGUACAGAGGGUUGCGAUACUGUGAGGUGGAGCUAAUCCCUUAAAGCCGGUCUCGGUUUCGGAUUGGGGUUCUGCGAACUCGGACCCCGUGAAAGUUCGGAGUCGCGAGUGAAUCGCGGAUUCGGGCGAACGCUGCGGUGAA